CCCCUACGGACGGUAUGAACGGCAUCCGGUAGCGAGAAUCGGGUGGGGG
rnacentral:sRNA from 12 species